rnacentral:rRNA from 1 species
UACGGAGGGGGCUAGCGUUGUUCGGAAUUACUGGGCGUAAAGCGCGCGUAGGCGGAUCUGUAAGUUGGGGGUGAAAUCCCGAGGCUCAACCUCGGAACUGCCUUCGAUACUGCAGAUCUCGAGUCCGAGAGAGGUGAGUGGAAUUCCUAGUGUAGAGGUGAAAUUCGUAGAUAUUAGGAAGAACACCAGUGGCGAAGGCGGCUCACUGGCUCGGUACUGACGAUGAGGCGCGAAAGCGUGGGGAGCAAACAGG